GACGAACGCUGGCGGCGUGCUUAACACAUGCAAGUCGAACGAUGAACCCGGAGCUUGCUCCGGCGGAUUAGUGGCGAACGGGUGAGUAACACGUGAGUAACCUGCCCUUGACUCUGGGAUAACUGCGGGAAACUGUAGCUACUACCGGAUACGACCCUCGGCGGCAUCGCCAGGGGGUGGAAAGAAUUUCGGUCAAGGAUGGACUCGCGGCCUAUCAGCUAGUUGGUGAGGUAUCGGCUCACCAAGGCGACGACGGGUAGCCGGCCUGAGAGGGUGACCGGCCACACUGGGACUGAGACACGGCCCAGACUCCUACGGGAGGCGGCAGUGGGGAAUAUUGCACAAUGGGCGCAAGCCUGAUGCAGCAACGCCGCGUGAGGGAUGACGGCCUUCGGGUUGUAAACCUCUUUUAGUAGGGAAGAAGCGAAAGUGACGGUACCUGCAGAAAAAGCACCGGCUAACUACGUGCCAGCCGCCGCCGUAA
rnacentral:rRNA from 1 species